AACGGAUAUCUCGGCUCUCGCAUCGAUGAAGAACGUAGCGAAAUGCGAUACCUGGUGUGAAUUGCAGAAUCCCGCGAACCAUCGAGUCUUUGAACGCAAGUUGCGCCCGAGGCCAUCCGGCCGAGGGCACGCCUGCCUGGGCGUCACGCCAAAAGACGCUCCCC
rnacentral:rRNA from 8 species